GUACUCACCCGACAGGGGACACCAUGACCACAAGGUGGUUUCCCAGAGUGGGGCUCCUCCGCUGCCCUCUGAUGUGCUGACCCCUGAGAUUUCCCCGAGCGUGGGAAACUUAACUGCAUAAUUUGUGGUAGUGGGGGCUGCGUUCACACACUCCCCUA
ensembl:snRNA LOC120103213 U1 spliceosomal RNA